AAGUAUAGCCAUAGAGGGUGAUAGUCCCGUAUGCGAAAAACAAAGCUUAGCUAGCAGUAUCCUGAGUAGGGCGGGACACGAGGAAUCCUGUCUGAAUCCGGGUCGACCACGAUCCAACCCUAAAUACUAAUACCAGAUCGAUAGUGCACAAGUACCGUGAGGGAAAGGUGAAAAGAACUGAGGUGAUCAGAGUGAAAUAGAACCUGAAACCAUUUGCUUACAAUCAUUCAGAGCACUAUGUAGCAAUACAGUGUGAUGGACUGCCUUUUGCAUAAUGAGCCUGCGAGUUGUGGUGUCUGGCAAGGUUAAGCAAACGCGAAGCCGUAGCGAAAGCGAGUCUGAAUAGGGCGCUUAGUCAGAUGCUGCAGACCCGAAACGAAGUGAUCUAUCCAUGAGCAAGUUGAAGCUAGUGUAAGAACUAGUGGAGGACUGAACCCAUAGGCGUUGAAAAGCCCCGGGAUGACUUGUGGAUAGGGGUGAAAGGCCAAUCAAACUUCGUGAUAGCUGGUUCUCUCCGAAAUAUAUUUAGGUAUAGCGUUGUGUCGUAAUAUAAGGGGGUAGAGCACUGAAUGGGCUAGGGCAUACACCAAUGUACCAAACCCUAUCAAACUCCGAAUACCUUAUAUGUAAUCACAGCAGUCAGGCGGCGAGUGAUAAAAUCCGUCGUCAAGAGGGAAACAACCCAGACUACCAGCUAAGGUCCCUAAAUCUUACUUAAGUGGAAAACGAUGUGAAGUUACUUAAACAACCAGGAGGUUGGCUUAGAAGCAGCCAUCCUUUAAAGAAAGCGUAAUAGCUCACUGGUCUAGUGAUUUUGCGCGGAAAAUAUAACGGGGCUAAAGUAAGUACCGAAGCUGUAGACUUAGUUUACUAAGUGGUAGGAGAGCGUUCUAUUUGCGUCGAAGGUAUACCGGUAAGGAGUGCUGGAGCGAAUAGAAGUGAGCAUGCAGGCAUGAGUAGCGAUAAUUAAUGUGAGAAUCAUUAACGCCGUAAACCCAAGGUUUCCUACGCGAUGCUCGUCAUCGUAGGGUUAGUCGGGUCCUAAGUCGAGUCCGAAAGGGGUAGACGAUGGCAAAUUGGUUAAUAUUCCAAUACCAACAUUAGUGUGCGAUGGAAGGACGCUUAGGGCUAAGGGGGCUAGCGGAUGGAAGUGCUAGUCUAAGGUCGUAGGAGGUUAUACAGGAAAAUCCGUAUAACAAUACUCCGAGAACUGAAAGGCUUUUUGAAGUCUUCGGAUGGAUAGAAGAACCCCUGAUGCCGUCGAGCCAAGAAAAGUUUCUAAGUUUAGCUAAUGUUGCCCGUACCGUAAACCGACACAGGUGGGUGGGAUGAGUAUUCUAAGGCGCGUGGAAGAACUCUCUUUAAGGAACUCUGCAAAAUAGCACCGUAUCUUCGGUAUAAGGUGUGGUUAGCUUUGUAUUAGGAUUUACUCCGAAAGCGAAGAAACUUACAACAAAGAGUCCCUCCCGACUGUUUACCAAAAACACAGCACUCUGCUAACUCGUAAGAGGAUGUAUAGGGUGUGACGCCUGCCCGGUGCUCGAAGGUUAAUUGAUGGGGUUAGCAUUAGCGAAGCUCUUGAUCGAAGCCCGAGUAAACGGCGGCCGUAACUAUAACGGUCCUAAGGUAGCGAAAUUCCUUGUCGGUUAAAUACCGACCUGCAUGAAUGGCGUAACGAGAUGGGAGCUGUCUCAAAGAGGGAUCCAGUGAAAUUGUAGUGGAGGUGAAAAUUCCUCCUACCCGCGGCAAGACGGAAAGACCCCGUGGACCUUUACUACAGCUUGACACUGCUACUUGGAUAAGAAUGUGCAGGAUAGGUGGGAGGCUUUGA
rnacentral:rRNA from 1 species